CUGGAUCGAGUCGUUCUUUUUCCGAUACAUUGUAGUUCUCUGUGUACUUGUGUGCACGCUGUCGCACACAUCCUCACUUGCCCUGUGUCUCUUGCUUUCCGUGCACACAUCAUUCGGCGUUGUGUCACGUGAACGCGUCUGCUGACCCCCGCCUCCUCUCUCCCUCUCUCCAUCUUGACGGGCAUCCCUCUCUGUCUCCUCCCCUCUUCCUUCUCCUUCGAGGUGACCACUGCCUCUCGUCCGCCUUGGUAGCUGUAGCACCACUACCACCACUCCUGCAACUGCUGCCAUCAUCGCCGGCGCUGCUGCUGCUGCUCCCUUGUCGUCUAACAAACCUGGUGUCAAGAACAAGAGGAAAGCCGAUGGGCCCGCGCAAGAGCAACGCCUUCGCGUCCGGCAAGGAUGACGGCGCCGCCGCUGGCAAGAUACGCAAGGUUGGCGGCAAUGGCGUGGGAGCCAGCAGCGCGACCAACAGCGCCAGCCACAAGCACGGCGGCGCCGCCGCGGCUACCAUGACGGACAUCUACACGAACGAAGAGAAGGUCUUCCUCGAGUCACAGCUGGCACUCUUCACCUCUGGUGGUGGCGGCAGCGGCGGCACAGACUUUGCGAGGAUGACGAAAGAGCAAUGGUUCGCGGGCUUGCCGACGCUUGUCUCCGCGACGGAGAAGUUGUUGCAGGCAGCGGCUGAGCAGUAUCAGCAGACGUGCCGGGAGCGCGCUGCAGCUGCAGCCUCGGUAAACGGCGCGCAGAACGCCGGUUCCUUGCCAAGCGCUGACGGCAGCGGGGUAGGCAAGCACGGCUCCACGGCCAACAGCAGCCAUGCCAACAGUUGCACGGCCGAAGGCAUCGCCCCCGGCGGGGCGGCGGGAUCAUCGGACCACCGUUCCACCCCAGCCGGUGGCACCCCUGCACAGUUUGCCGAGGAGAACGCCUACAUCAUCGCCCAAGCGCAACAGCUGCAGUGGUACCCCUUCACCUACCAGCGGUGGGUGGAGCUGCUCUUGGAGCCAGGCAAGCACCACACCGCCUGCGACGAUGGCGGGCUCCGCGGGGACGCGAUUCAGACGUCCCUGCGGCGCUGCAUUCUGGUAACAUAUCCAGCUGUGGAGGGAGGCGAUGUGAUUUAGACAGGCGUGAACGGGGAGACGAGAGGGGCUGCGCGGGUGGACACCGCAUGCACACCUCUCCGUAUCCGCACCGUUCUUUUAUUCCCUCCGACCCUCAUUUCACUUGGAUGACAGAGAGAGAGAGGAGGGCCGCCUUCGGGCAUGGCACAUCAUGGCCGCGUUCACCCCCCUCCAUCCUCUCUGCGGGGAAGCUAGGCAGCCCCUCCCCCUAUCCCUGUCAGUGCCGGACCACCCCUCGUGGUGCCAGGGUCAGGUACCUACGACGUAGCGAAGUCAGAGCGAUUUAUCGCUACGGGUGUCGGCGGUCAUGUCCUGGAUGGCGCUGCGUGGGGGAGGCCUGCAGCCGUGAACGUGUUUGUGCGAACCAUAUGAUGGGCAGUAUGCCGCCCUGACCCGAACGUAUCUCACCCGGCCCUCACCGCGCCCUGGCUCGGGGAGCCCGAGGCGCCCGGAGGGAUGCGCGACGUGGCGACCGGGCACAAGGCGAGCGGCCGUGAGGGGCGACCUUGCGGGGCAGGGAGGGCGGGUAGAGGGUCUGGGGCGGAGGCCGCGCUUCGCUGACUGGGUCGGCGCAUUUCUGCAGCGGCGCGUGUCUACGGCUGCUUGGCGCCACGCGGUGCGGGGGCCUGUGGCUGGGCCGUUGUCCCCAUGCUGUAUGGCGGAGAAAUAGACGCGUUGCGAAAUAAAACAGUGUUUCUCCUCUCCUCCCCUUCUUCUCCCUCUCCACCGAUUCAUCCUCGUCGUUCCUUGUGUUCCGUGACGUCGUCGAUGGUGUCUCUCUGUGCGUGUGUAAUGAUUCGUGCACUGGUUUCUUUUGGCGUCGUCUUCCAGCGCCGUG
rnacentral:misc_RNA from 1 species